rnacentral:rRNA from 1 species
CCUACGGGUGGCAGCAGUGAGGAAUAUUGGUCAAUGGACGCAAGCCUGAACCAGCCAUGCCGCGUGCAGGAAGACGGCUCUAUGAGUUGUAAACUGCUUUUGUACGGGGGUAAACGCUGAGACGCGUAUCUUUUUGAAAGUAUCGUACGAAUAAGGAUCGGCUAACUCCGUGCCAGCAGCCGCGGUAAUACGGAGGUGUCAAGCGUUAUCCGGAUUUAUUGGGUUUAAAGGGAGCGUAGGCGGGCGGAUAAGUCAGAGGUGAAAUCCCGGGGCUCAACCUCGGAAUUGCAUUUGAUACUGUUCGGCUAGAGGAUAGGUGCGGUAGGCGGAAUGUAUGGUGUAGCGGUGAAAUGCGUAGAGAUCA